rnacentral:rRNA from 1 species
UACGUAGGGGGCUAGCGUUGUCCGGAAUCAUUGGGCGUAAAGCGCGUGUAGGCGGUCCGGUAAGUCCGCUGUGAAAGUCGGGGGCUCAACCCUCGGAUGCCGGUGGAUACUGUCGGGCUUGAGUACGGAAGAGGCGAGUGGAAUUCCUGGUGUAGCGGUGAAAUGCGCAGAUAUCGGGAGGAACACCAAUUGCGAAGGCAGCUCGCUGGGACGUUACUGACGCUGAGACGCGAAAGCCAGGGGAGCGAACGGG